rnacentral:rRNA from 1 species
AUUGAACGCUGGCGGCAGGCCUAACACAUGCAAGUCGAGCGGAUGAAGGGAGCUUGCUCCUGGAUUCAGCGGCGGACGGGUGAGUAAUGCCUAGGAAUCUGCCUGGUCGUGGGGGAUAACGUCCGGAAACGGGCGCUAAUACCGCAUACGUCCUGAGGGCGAAAGUGGGGGUUCUUCGGACCUCAGGCUAUCAGAUGAGCCUAGGCCGGAUUAGCUAGUUGGUGGGUUAAAGGCCUACAAAGGCGACGAUCCGUAACUGGUCUGAGAGGAUGAUCAGUCACACUGGAACUGAGACACGGUCCAGACUCCUACGGGAGGCAGCAGUGGGGAAUAUGGGGCAAUGGGCGAAAGCCUGAUCCAGCCAUGCCGCGUGUGUGAAGAAGGUCUUCGGAUUGUAAAGCACUUUAAGUUGGGAGGAAGGGCAGUAAGUUAAUACCUUGCUGUUUUGACGUUACCAACAGAAUAAGCACCGGCUAACUUCGUG